rnacentral:rRNA from 1 species
AGAGCGAACGCUGGCGGCAGGCCUAAUACAUGCAAGUCGAACGGACCCUUCGGGGUUAGUGGCGGACGGGUGAGUAACACGUGGGAACGUGCCCUUUGGUUCGGAACAACUCAGGGAAACUUGAGCUAAUACCGAAUGUGCCCCCAUCCUUAAACAAGAUGGGUGGGAAAGAUUUAUCGCCAUUGGAGCGGCCCGCGUCUGAUUAGCUAGUUGGUGAGGUAAAGGCUCACCAAGGCGACGAUCAGUAGCUGGUCUGAGAGGAUGAUCAGCCACACUGGGACUGAGACACGGCCCAGACUCCUACGGGAGGCAGCAGUAGGGAAUCUUGCGCAAUGGGCAAAGCCUGACGCAGCCAUGCCGCGUGAAUGAUGAAGGUCUUAGGAUUGUAAAAUUCUUUCAGCGGGGACGAUAAUGACGGUACCGCAGAAGACGCCCGGCUAACUCGCGCCAGCAGCCGC